rnacentral:lncRNA from 1 species
AGCCAAAGGCUCCAUGCCGCGGCAAGUUCUAUGCUAACUAUGCAAGGAUUCAGUUCCCCUGCAGUCUAAAGUGAGCGAAAACUGUAGCCGGCUGUGUGAAGUCUUUGGUCUUUCCCCUCGUUGCGGCACGGUCUAAGUGGAAUUGGUGACACACUCGCCGCGGGUGACAGAGCUUUACUUCCAAGACGGAUCGCACAGAGGAGACACGGAACGGAGCGAGGACAGGGAAGGAGAUUCUACCUCGAGUGUACUUUUGUUUGCUGCGUUACCUUUUCCCGAAUGUGUAGAGUCUGAAUACAGAGAAGAGCAGCAUAAACACGACGGAAAUCGCCAUACGCGCGAGUGUGCACGCAUUUCUUGGUCAACGGCGCGGAAGCUUUUCCACGCACCUUUUACGAGCGACUUUGCAAACGUCGUAAAACGCUCAGAAUCCGCGACACGCUUUGACUCAGCAAUCGUCGAAAGCCGCGAUAUUCCUUCCGUCAUCAACUAAAGCGUGUACCCACCCGAUGAUUUCAGAACUGGACAGGAGACAAACAGCCGUGAAGGAGCUCUCGUGUCAGCAAAAUCUUCGUCAGCUGGACGGGCACGUGAAGGGAACACCGUGAGCGGGUUGACCGUCUCGCGACAGGCUCGGCAGCAGAGAGGGUAUUUUUAUUUAUUAACUACCCCAUACGAGACGAGGUCGCCACCCCAUUACCCGCACCAUCGCCCGCAGAAAAAGGACCUAGGAGAAGGAGUUUACGCCCUUCUGCACUUUCGUUUUUAUUCCUGCUACGCCUCUCCAAAUUACUACAUCAUGUGGCCACCUGCUGCAGACGAAUGACUUGCCACUAGCGCAAGGGAUCAAUCACAAUACGGUAACGCUACGCCGACUAGCCUAUCACAGUAACACGUUUGUGUUUCACAGUGGUUCACAUUACCCCUGAAACGCUGACAUUGUGUCGAGAGAGGAAACGACUGUAGUCAAUACCCCGGUUACCUGCAACUUACACGUCUCUUCAUGUUCCAGGCGCAUCGAGUUCCCGUGGCGGGCCUAAGGUUUCGGAUCCGCCGCUUUCAAAAUUGCGCAGUUAAAACUUCGGUUUCGGCAAAUCCUGUAUUAGGGACACCAUCCGAAAAAACGACGGACAUAAUCAUGUGUUGUCCGCACAGAAUGCCAUCUCUCUACCCCUCCUUGCCUGUACAAGGUCACUAAACGUCCACAAAAGUGUCCGAUGGCAGCGCAAGACUUUCCACUGGGAAGGCCAGAGCGAAGUCUUUGACCGCAGUCGUUUCCGGCAUCGCCAAAGCACCACUUUCCACGGGAAAAAUGUGGCCGUUGUCAAUGAAACGCAAAACGGUUCAUACGUUAUGCUGGUCGCCGUCCUGUUUCCG